CAAUAACAGGUCUGUGAUGCCCUCAGAUGUCCCGGGCUGCACACGUGCUACAAUGAGUGGCGCAAUGUGCUAAUGUUUUAAGGGAUAAGCGUGCGGCCAGUAGAACGUCGGCAAUUGCCCUGGCGUCUUCUACCGCACGAUUAUCAGCCUUCCCUUAACAGGGCGGGCAACCUUUUCAAAAUACCGGUUUGAUGUUAAAGUAUAGAGUCGUUUUUUUUGGAUGGUGGUUUACGAACCAAUACCAUCCGCAACU
rnacentral:rRNA from 1 species